rnacentral:rRNA from 1 species
UGGGGAAUAUUGCACAAUGGGCGGAAGCCUGAUGCAGCGACGCCGCGUGAGGGAUGACGGCCUUCGGGUUGUAAACCUCUUUCAGUAGGGACGAAGCGUAAGUGACGGUACCUGCAGAAGAAGCACCGGCUAACUACGUGCCAGCAGCCGCGGUAAUACGUAGGGUGCGAGCGUUGUCCGGAAUUAUUGGGCGUAAAGAGUGCGUAGGCGGCAAAUUAAGUCAGAUGUGAAAACUAAGGGCUCAACCCAUAGAUUGCAUCUGAAACUGAUAUGCUUGAGUCAAGGAGAGGAAAGUGGAAUUCCUAGUGUAGCGGUGGAAUGCGUAGAUAUUAGGAGGAAUACCGGUGGCGAAGGCGACUUUCUGGACUUGAACUGACGCUGAGGCACGAAAGCGUGGGGAGCAAACAGG